CCAUUCUUGUCUGCUGACACUUUUUAUGUGGAUACGUUUGUUAUUUCACACACCCCUCAUGGUCUUGGAGCCCUCUGGGAGUGGGGGAGACCUAUGGGCAUUGAGCAUACCAUCUGACUUGGCCGCAUUGGAUCCGGCGCACACACGGGCUCUCUGGGGACGAUCUGGGCACUCCAAGCUUGGGAGAGGAAAAACCUCACUGCUAAUGUUCCCUGAAGAAGGAUGUAUUACUAAAAGCAUUUGAAACGCGUUGGAAACGACCAUCCAUACCCCCAGUUUUCUGCUGGGGUACAUGAUGAUCUCAUAGCAGCAGUUUUUUUCCAAUUUUUUAUUUUAGAUGUUGACAUACUACUGUGAAGUGUUUAUUCUUUGACUAUUUUUGUAAUACUAUUUUGUAAUAAAUUUCUAUAUUUUUAUGA